rnacentral:rRNA from 1 species
GAUGAACGCUGGCGGCGUGCCUAAUACAUGCAAGUAGAACGCUGAAGGAGGAGCUUGCUCUUCUGGAUGAGUUGCGAACGGGUGAGUAACGCGUAGGUAACCUGCCUUGUAGCGGGGGAUAACUAUUGGAAACGAUAGCUAAUACCGCAUGACAACAGUUAUUGCAUGAUAACUGUUUAAAAGGGGCAACUGCUCCACUACCAGAUGGACCUGCGUUGUAUUAGCUAGUUGGUGAGGUAACGGCUCACCAAGGCGACGAUACAUAGCCGACCUGAGAGGGUGAUCGGCCACACUGGGAAUGAGACACGGCCCAGACGUUUACGGGAGGCAGCAGUAGGGAAUCUUCGGAAAUGGACGGAAGUCUGAACGAGCAACGCCGCGUGAGUGAAGAAGGUUUUCGGAUCGUAAAGCUCUGUUGUAAGAGAAGAACGAGUGUGAGAGUGGAAAGUUCACACUGUGACGGUAUCUUACCAGAAAGGGACGGCUAACUACGUG